UGAAUUCAAUGUGGUAGGACGAGAGUCAUCUGUGACAGGAUAAUGGAAGAUCUAGUUAUCAAAGGCUUAUUGGGGCGUUCUUUUUUUCAUGUUGAGUUCGUAGCAUAAUCUCCAACUUUUGCAGAGUAUUGCAACACCGAAGUAGCACAGGCAGACAUUUCAUUACCAUUACUCUAUUAGAUAUUGAAUUGAGUAUUAUUUGCUUUCGUUUUGA
rnacentral:lncRNA from 1 species